UCUAGACACAUGAAGAAGGGUAAAGAAAGAAAGAGGGAACCCCAUGAAGGUUGGAUCUCCUCUCUCUGUGGGCAGCUCCUCUCCGUGCACUGCUCCCUACCUAUGCAUCUUCCUUCAAAGCUGCUGUCAUUUCUACAGAUUGAAACAAAAGGGAAAGAGCAGAAACACAAAGCGAAAAUCAUUGAAAAUGCUUAAAGAAAAGAACAAAGUUUGAAGUAUUCAAACAUCUAGCAAUUUUUCUCUAUCUCGCAGUUUGAAGUAUCCAUCCAAAUGAAUAUGUAUGAUGUUAUAGUUAGUUGUAAACUGAUGGUUCUGACCGUACAGGUAAUGAGCAGGUGCCUAGAAAUAAUGAGAUAAAAAAAAUGGCCAUUUGGCUCCUUGAAUCAUUGGAAA